ensembl:rRNA 5_8S_rRNA 5.8S ribosomal RNA
AACACUUAGAGGUGAAUCACUCAGCUCUUGUGUCAAUGAAGGACGCAGCUAGCUGUGAGAAUGAAUGUGAUUUGCAGGAGGACACAUUGAUCACUGACACUUCGAAUGCACUUGUGGCUGAGAGUUCUUCCCAUGGCUACACCUGUCUGAGCAUCC